GCCCCCUUCCCUUGUGGCUGGUGCAAAUCUAGUGUUUGGAAGGUCAGCACAGAGGCACUCAGGACGAAGAUGGAGAAGAUAAAAACUGUUUUCCCUGCUUCAUUUUUCCUAACCCACCAGAUUUCCGGAGUGGUGUCAGGGUAACCGAU